ensembl:lncRNA
AAAACUCUAAUUCUGUGUAGUGUGUGAGGAGUUGAUCAAGAGCUAAUAGACUGUGUGUAGAAAGAGUGGAAAGUCUAAUACGCUCAAAGUGAUUGUUUUAUCCAGCAAUGGUUAAAAUUGCAAGGGAUGUUGAAUGUUCUCAGUUUCAAGAGAAACUGGAGAACUGGUUUCCAAAUUUUCAUGCCCUUUUAGUAAAACCAUCAGCUAAAGGGAAUGAUGAGUUCAGCAAGAAGUGUCAGAUCUGGUUUCCAAACCUGCAAGCCAACACUAAGCCAAGUACAGAAGAGAAGGCUGAGUUUGGAAAACAACUCCAGACAUGGUUUCAUGACCUUCAAGUAGCUGACUCUAAACCACCAGAGGAAGAGAAGUUUCAGUUCGUGACAAAGCUCCAGGUCUGGUUUCCUGAAUUCCAAAGUAUGAACCUAAUCCAGGGCCACAAUAAAUAGUUUUCUCUUAAAAGGGUGGUUGCCUGUGUUUUUUUUUUUUUUCUUUU